CCUUGACAUACUAAGAACUUUCCAGAGAUGGAUUGGUGCCUUCGGGAACUUAGAUACAGGUGCUGCAUGGCUGUCGUCAGCUCGUGUCGUGAGAUGUUGGGUUAAGUCCCGCAACGAGCGCAACCCUUUUCCUUAUUUGCCAGCGGGUCAUGCCGGGAACUUUAAGGAUACUGCCAGUGACAAACUGGAGGAAGGCGGGGACGACGUCAAGUCAUCAUGGCCCUUACGGCCAGGCUACACACGUGCUACAAUGGUCGGUACAAAGGGUUGCUACCUCGCGAGAGGAUGCUAAUCUCAAAAAGACCGAUCGUAGUCCGGAUCGCAGUCUGCAACUCGACUGCGUGAAGUCGGAAUCGCUAGUAAUCGCGGAUCAGAAUGCCGCGGUGAAUACGUUCCCGGGCCUUGUACACACCGCCCGUCACACCAUGGGAGUUUGUUGCACCAGAAGUAGGUAGUCUAACCGCAAGGAGGACGCUUACCACGGUGUGGCCGAUGACUGGGGUGAAGUCGUAACAAGGUAAGCGUAGAUGA
rnacentral:rRNA from 1 species